rnacentral:rRNA from 1 species
GACGAACGCUGGCGGCAGGCUUAACACAUGCAAGUCGAGGGGAGCGGCAGACGGGUGAGUAACGCGUGGGAACGUACCUUGUGGUUCGGAACAACACAGGGAAACUUGUGCUAAUACCGGACACCGAAAGAUCGGCCAGCGUCUGAUUAGCUAGUUGGUAGGGUAAUGGCCUACCAAGGCGACGAUCAGUAGCUGGUCUGGGAGGAUGAUCAGCCACAUUGGGACUGAGACACGGCCCAACCUCCGACGGGAGGCAGAAGUGGGGAAUAUUGGACAAUGAGGGCAACCCUGUUCCAGCCUUGCCGCGGGAGUGAUGAAGGACCUAGAGUUGUAAAGCUCUUUUGUGCGGGAAGCGGUACCGCAAGAAUAAGCCCCGGCUAACUUCGGGCCAGCCGCCGCGGUAAUAC